rnacentral:rRNA from 1 species
CGCAUCUGUGCAUGCAGCAUAUCAAUAAGCGGAGGAAAAGAAACUAACAAGGAUUCCCCUAGUAACGGCGAGUGAAGCGGGAAGAGCUCAAAUUUGAAAUCUUAAAGGGUUUCCCUUUACGAAUUGUAGUUUAAAGAAGGUGUUUUCUGUUGAGGUUUUGGUAAAAGUUCUUUGGAAUAGGACAUCAUAGAGGGUGAGAAUCCCGUAUUUGACCUUUACUUUCAACUUUGUGAUACACUUUCAAAGAGUCGGAUUGUUUGGGAAUGCAGUCCAAAAUGGGUGGUAAAUUUCAUCUAAAGCUAAAUAUUGGCGAGAGACCGAUAGCGAACAAGUACCGUGAGGGAAAGAUGAAAAGAACUUUGAAAAGAGAGUUAAACAGUACGUGAAAUUGUCAAAAGGGAAGCGUUUGACACCAGUGUUGUUUUUCUGAAAAUCAAUUAAAGAACUGUUUAUGCUAAGUUGUUUAGACUUUAUCAGCUAUCUGUUUAGUUUUGAGCUUUUCUUUAAUGCACCUUUUCAGUUAACAAGUCAACAUCAAUUUCUUUUGCUGUAAAAAAGCUUGAGGAAGGUGGCUUGAGAUUCGUCUCAAGUGUUUAUAGCCUCUUGCCUAUGCAGUCGGAGAGAUUGAGGUCUGCAGCGUAGAUCCUUCGGGGCUAAAUGCAUUUGUGCUAAGUUAUAGCAUUUUAUAGACAACUUGUUGACUAUGAUUUGUCUUGUAGCUUACUCGCUUAUGUUAUUUUACCUACGCUUAGGAUGUUGAUCUCUCACAGUCGAC